AUUGAACGCUGGCGGCAGGCUUAACACAUGCAAGUCGAGCGAGCGGCGGACGGGUGAGUAAUGUCUGGGAAACUGCCUGAUGGAGGGGGAUAACUACUGGAAACGGUAGCUAAUACCGCAUACCAGCGGAUGUGCCCAGAUGGGAUUAGCUAGUAGGUGGGGUAAAGGCUCACCUAGGCGACGAUCCCUAGCUGUUCUGAGAGGAUGACCAGCCACACUGGGACUGAGCCACGGUCCAGACUCCUAUGGGAGGCAGCAGUGGGGAAUAUUGAACAAUGGGCGCAAGCCUGAGACAGCCAUGCCGCGUGUAUGAAGAAGGCCUUCGGGUUGGAAAGUACUUUCAGCGGGGAGGCGUUACCCGCAGAAGAAGCACCGGCUAACUCCGUGCCAGCAGCCGCGGUAAUAG
rnacentral:rRNA from 1 species